rnacentral:tRNA from 1 species
UCCGUAGUAGUGAACUGGUAUCACUUCUGCUUGCCAAGCAGACAGAGCGGGUUCGAUUCCCGUCUACGGGAC